rnacentral:rRNA from 1 species
UACGGAGGGAGCUAGCGUUGUUCGGAAUUACUGGGCGUAAAGCGUGCGUAGACGGUUAUUUAAGUCGGGUGUGAAAGCCCCGGGCUCAACCUGGGAAUUGCAUUCGAGACUGAAUAGCUAGGGUACGGUAGAGGGAAGUGGAAUUUCCGGUGUAGCGGUGAAAUGCGUAGAUAUCGGAAGGAACACCGGUGGCGAAGGCGGCUCACUGGGCCGGUCCUGACGCUCAGGCGCGAAAGCGUGGGGAGCGAUCCGG